UUCGGGGCGUGGACCGACG
rnacentral:snRNA from 1 species